UACGUAGGCAGCAAGCGUUGUUCGGAAUUACUGGGCGUAAAGAGUGUGUAGGCGGUGCUCUAAGUUCGGUGUGAAAUCUCCCGGCUCAACUGGGAGGGUGCGCUACAGACUGUCUGACUAGAGUGUGGGAGUGGGUAGUGGAAUUCCUGGUGUAGCGGUGAAAUGCGUAGAUAUCGGGAGGAACACCGGUGGCGAAGGCGGUUCUCUGGGCCUUACCUGACGCUGAGGAGCGAAAGCGUGGGAGCGAACAGG
rnacentral:rRNA from 1 species